UACGUAGGGUGCGAGCGUUGUCCGGAAUUACUGGGCGUAAAGAGCUCGUAGGUGGUUUGUCGCGUUGUCCGUGAAAACUCACAACUCAAUUGUGGGCGUGCGGGCGAUACGGGCAGACUGGAGUACUGCAGGGGAGACUGGAAUUCCUGGUGUAGCGGUGGAAUGCGCAGAUAUCAGGAGGAACACCGGUGGCGAAGGCGGGUCUCUGGGCAGUAACUGACGCUGAGGCGCGAAAGCUAGGGGAGCAAACAGG
rnacentral:rRNA from 1 species